GAUGAACGCUGGCGGCGUGCUUAACACAUGCAAGUCGAGCGAGUGAGUUCUUCGGAACGAUCUAGCGGCGGACGGGUGAGUAACACGUGGGCAACCUACCUCAUAGAGGGGAAUAGCCUCCCGAAAGGGAGAUUAAUACCGCAUAAAAUUAUCGAGUGGCAUCACAUGAUAAUCAAAGGAGUAAUCCGCUAUGAGAUGGGCCCGCGGCGCAUUAGCUAGUUGGUGAGGUAACGGCUCACCAAGGCGACGAUGCGUAGCCGACCUGAGAGGGUGAUCGGCCACAUUGGGACUGAGACACGGCCCAGACUCCUACGGGAGGCAGCAGUGGGGAAUAUUGCACAAUGGGGGAGACCCUGAUGCAGCAACGCCGCGUGAGUGAUGAAGGUCUUCGGAUUGUAAAGCUCUGUCUUUGGGGACGAUAAUGACGGUACCCAAGGAGGAAGCCACGGCUAACUACGUGCCAGCAGCCGCGGUAA
rnacentral:rRNA from 1 species